rnacentral:sRNA from 1 species
UCUCGACGAUGAAAGGCAGACCAAGAGC